rnacentral:rRNA from 1 species
GACGAACGCUGGCGGCGUGCUUAACACAUGCAAGUCGAACGGAAAGGCCUGCUUUCCCUUGUGGAUUGCGGGUACUCGAGUGGCGAACGGGUGAGUAACACGUGAGUGAUCUGCCCCCAACUUGGGUAUAAGCCUGGGAAACUGGGUCUAAUUCCCGAUAGGACUGCAGGGUGGUGCCUGUGGUGGAAAACGAUUUUCUAGUGGUUGGGGAUGAGCUCGCGGCCUAUCAGCUUGUUGGUGGGGUAAUGGCCUACCAAGGCGGCGACGGGUAGCCGGCCUGAGAGGGUGGACGGCAACAUUGGGACUGAGAUACGGCCCAGACGCCUACGGGAGGCAGCAGUGGGGAAUAUUGCACAAGGGGCGGAAGCCUGAUGCAGCGACGCCGCGUGGGGGAUGACGGCCUUCGGGUUGUAAACUCCUUUCGACCGCGAGGAAGCCACCUGGUUGGAAGGGUGGUGACGGUAGUGGUAGAAGAAGCACCGGCUAACUACGUG